AUUGAACGCUGGCGGCAUGCUUUACACAUGCAAGUCGAACGGUAACAGGCCGCAAGGUGCUGACGAGUGGCGAACGGGUGAGUAAUGCAUCGGAACGUGCCCAGUCGUGGGGGAUAACGCAGCGAAAGCUGUGCUAAUACCGCAUACGAUCUGUGGAUGAAAGCGGGGGACCUUCGGGCCUCGCGCGAUUGGAGCGGCCGAUGUCAGAUUAGGUAGUUGGUGGGGUAAAGGCUCACCAAGCCGACGAUCUGUAGCUGGUCUGAGAGGACGACCAGCCACACUGGGACUGGGACACGGCCCAGACUCCUACGGGAGGCAGCAGUGGGGAAUUUUGGACAAUGGGCGCAAGCCUGAUCCAGCAAUGCCGCGUGCAGGGAGAAGGCCUUCGGGUUGUAAACUGCUUUUGUACGGAGCGAAAAGGCUCCCUCUAAUACAGGGGGCUCAUGACGGUACCGUAAGAAUAAGCACCGGCUAACUACGUGCCAGCAGCCGCGGUAACAC
rnacentral:rRNA from 1 species